rnacentral:rRNA from 1 species
AUUGAACGCUAGCGGGAUGCUUUACACAUGCAAGUCGAGCGAGCGGCGGACGGGUGAGUAAUGUAUGGGGACUGCCCGAUCGAGGGGGAUAACUACUGGAAACGGUAGCUAAUACCGCAUACUAUCGGAUAACCCAUAUGGGAUUAGCUAGUAGGUGAGGUAAUGGCUCACCUAGGUGACGAUCCCUAUCUGGUCUGAGAGGAUGCUCAGCCACACUGGGACUGAGACACGGCCCAGAUUCCGACGGAGGCAGCAGGGGGGAAUAUUGCACAAGGGGCGCAAGCCUGAUGCAGCCAGGCCGCGUGUAUGAAGAAGGCCCUAGGGUUGUAAAGUGCUUUCAUUCGGGAGGCGUUACCGACAGAAGAAGCACCGGCUAAAUCCGUGCCAGCAGCCGCGGUAAUAC